rnacentral:rRNA from 1 species
UACGAACUGUGCAAACGUUAUUCGGAAUCACUGGGCUUAAAGGGUGCGUAGGCGGCUUGUCAAGUAGGGUGUGAAAGCCCCCGGCUUAACCAGGGAAUUGCGCCCUAAACUGACGAGCUGGAGUGGGACAGGGGUGUGUGGAACUUCCGGUGGAGCGGUGAAAUGUGUUGAUAUCGGAAGGAACGCCGGUGGCGAAAGCGACACACUGGGUCUCAACUGACGCUGAGGCACGAAAGCCAGGGGAGCGAACGGG